UACGGGGGGGGCAAGCGUUGUUCGGAAUUACUGGGCGUAAAGGGCGCGUAGGCGGCCUGCUAAGUCGGACGUGAAAUCCCUCGGCUCAACCGAGGAACUGCGUCCGAUACUGGUGGGCUUGAAUCCGGGAGAGGGAUGUGGAAUUCCAGGUGUAGCGGUGAAAUGCGUAGAUAUCUGGAGGAACACCGGUGGCGAAGGCGGCAUCCUGGACCGGUAUUGACGCUGAGGUGCGAAAGCGUGGGGAGCAAACAGG
rnacentral:rRNA from 1 species